rnacentral:rRNA from 1 species
UGGGGAAUAUUGCACAAUGGGCGCAAGCCCGAUGCAGCCAUGCCGCGUGUAUGAAGAAGGCCUUCGGGUUGUAAAGUACUUUCAGUCGGGAGGAAGGUGGUAAGGUUAAUAACCUUGGCAAUUGACGUUACCGACAGAAGAAGCACCGGCUAACUCCGUGCCAGCAGCCGCGGUAAUACGGAGGGUGCAAGCGUUAAUCGGAUUUACUGGGGGUAAAGCGCACGCAGGCGGUUGAUUGAGUAAGAUGUGAACUCCCCGGGCUUAACCCGGGGAUUGCAUCUGUUAGUGGUCAGCUAGAGUCUUGUAGAGGGGGGUAGAAUUCCAUGUGUAGCGGUGAAAUGCGUAGAGAUGUGGGGGAAUACCGGUGGCGAAGGCGGCCCCCUGGACAAAGACAGACGCUCAGGUGCGAAAGCGUGGGGAGCAAACAGG